rnacentral:rRNA from 1 species
AUUGAACGCUGGCGGCAGGCCUAACACAUGCAAGUCGAACGAGUGGCGGACGGGUGAGUAAUGUCUGGGAAACUGCCUGAUGGAGGGGGAUACCUCAUGGCCACGGUAGCUAAUACCGCAUACCAUCGGAUGUUCCCAGAUGGGAUUAGCUUGUAGGGAGGGUAAAGGCUCACCUAGGCAACUAUCCCUAGCUGGUCUGAGAGGAUGACCAGCGACACGGGAACUGAGACACGGUCCAGACUCCUACGGUAGGCAGCAGUGGGUAAUAUUGCACAAUGGGCGCAAGCCUGAUGCAGCCAUGCCGCGUGUAUGAUGAAGGCCUUCGGGUUGUAAAGUACUUUCAGCGGGGAGGCGUUACCCGCAGAAGAAGCACCGGCUAACUCCGUGCCAGCCGCCGCGGUAAUAC